ACUCUUCCCUUUUGGCGUUUUCUCUUCCCUGGUUCAGCCUUGUCUUUGCCUAUAAAUAGGCUAGCUUUCUCUUCAUUCAUAGCUAGAAAUUUUAUUUGGGGAGAGGGGAGAUUCAUGAUUUUUUGAGUAGCCUGUAAAAGAGAGAAAAAGGAAACGGGAAGAAAGAAAAAAAAAAGAAGGGAAGAAAGAAUUUUUUGAAAUUCUUUUCUUCCAGGGGUUUAUUUGCAAAAGGGUUUUUGCACUAUACAGACAUCAUCCUACCUUCCUGCAUUUCUUGGCGUGCGUGUGAAGUAGAGGGUCCGUACAUCUGGGCCUCGCAUAGCACCAGAUCCACCAGUACCAGAUCCGGCACCAGAUCCAGUUUUAGAUCCAGUUUCCGAUCCAGUACCAGAUCUAGCAUCCGAUCCAGUAUCUGAUCCAGCACUUGGCCCUCUACCAGAUUCUGUUCCAGAGUACCUCGACCAUCUUCCACUGCGGGAUCGAGGUAUGGUAAAUAUAAUAUAGUUAUGUUAUUUAUUUAUACCUGUUAUAAAUAAAUAGAUAAAAUUUUAAAACUGAUUUUCUGACCUGGCAUCCAUUUUUAUCGGAUUUUGCGGGAUAUUUUUCCUUCAAUUGGUAUCAGAGCCA
rnacentral:lncRNA from 1 species